rnacentral:lncRNA from 1 species
CCAUCAGCCAAUUAGCUCAGAGUUAUGGGCUCUGAGGUAACAGUUAUGCAAAUGUUUGUUCCACGGUAGGCUAUUAACAGCCAUAUUUUCUCGAUCAAGCUGACAGAGACUGAUGGGUGGGGGAAGAAAAGGAAAGCGAGCAUUUGUUUAGUUGAAACUUCUUUCCUGUUGGGUUGUAACGAAGCAUUCAGUGAGGAGAAGCACCAAGCUUGGUGUUUUCUUUAUCUUAUUCCAUGUGAGUGUGCUGAGUGAAUGAGAGGGAACCCCCCCCGCCCCCACCCCAGGGAAAUGCAGGUGAUGGAGAGGGGAGGAAGACCAGCUAAGAAACUGUUGAAUCUGGACUGAAUUUAGCAGGCUGCUGCUGAAAGUGGUGGCUUUCCUGAUCGCUCAGUACACUGUCCCGUCACAGCCACAGGAAUCAAGAACCAACAUGGGGACCUGCUUUUGCUGCUGCCUCUCCUCUGCUAGGGCAACAGGGAGUGUCCGCUAAUAAUGCAGGAGGAUUAGGUCAAGUUCAAAUGGAGCACCAUUUAUACUUAGUCAUUAACACCUAUAAUAAAACUACAUAAUAACCAUAAAGAAUAUAUAACAGCCCUGUAAUGAUAUAAGUCAUGCUCAGUAGACCAGAAACUUUGUGUUUUUGUUUUUGUUUUUAUUUUUUUAGACCAGAAACUUUGAAGAAUACCUGAAACAUUGUUGAUGUGGAAGAAAAUAUGCUGUAUAUAUCCAGGUCCUGGUUUUGUGCCUGGCCCAUGAUAGCUAUUCAAGAAAUACUUGUGAAUGAACAAACUAAGAGUGGCCAAAUGUGAACCCAAGAGUCAAGGAAAGAAAGGAGUUUGAGUCUGUUGGAUGGUGCAAGUUGGAAGACGAAGAGGCUUCAGGGACAGAAGAAUGGGCCCUGACCAGGAGAGUGCCUCCUUCCUGUAGCAGCUAUAAAAAGGAGCCAAGAGUUACAACAGCCAGGGGCUCUGUGACCCCUCUACUCCAACAAGACAAGGAUCAAAGUGGACAUGACAUGGAGCAGAGUGGCAGGGGGAACCUCUCUGGCAGGGCGAAGCUGGGGAGCUGCACAGUAGAGGGAGUGUGAAGAGCCAAGAAGGACUGGUAGCCUGGGAAGGCAGUCCACUGCCAAGGUGUCCCAAUGCCAUGGGCAGGAGAAACAUUUGGGUACAGAGACACACACUAGAGGCUUUAGUUGCCCACCCAGACCACAGAAGACUGGGGACCAAACAGUUGGGUGCCUGGCACCACUUGGAAUGACAUCGUGGGAUGCCACUGGUUUUACUGAGCCACCUCCACUCCUCUAGCAAUACUGA